rnacentral:rRNA from 1 species
CACGUAUUUAGCCGGUGCUUCUUACUCAGGUACCGUCAUUUUUCUUUCCCUGCUGAUAGAGCUUUACAUACCGAAAUACUUCUUCGCUCACGCGGCGUCGCUGCAUCAGGGUUUCCCCCAUUGUGCAAUAUUCCCCACUGCUGCCUCCCGUAGGAGUUUGGGCCGUGUCUCAGUCCCAAUGUGGCCGGCCACCCUCUCAGGUCGGCUACUGAUCGUCGCCUUGGUGGGCCUCUCCCCCGCCAACUAGCGAAUCAGACGCGGGCCCAUCCCAUACCACCGGAGUUUUUCACACCAGGCCAUGCGGCCCUUGUGCGCUUAUGCGGUUUUAGCAGCCGUUUCCGGCUGUUACUCCCCCUGUAUGGGGCAGGUUGCCCACGCGUUACUCACCCGUCCGCCACUCAGUCACAAUUUCUUCUUCCCCGAAGGAAUACUAAAAAAGUGCUUCGUUCGACUUGCAUGUGUUAAGCACGCCGCCAGCGUUCAUCCUGACGCCAGGAUACAAACUCUA